rnacentral:tRNA from 1 species
UCCUCGAUAGCUCAAUCGGCAGAGCAAUCGGCUGUUAACCGAUUGGUUCCAGGUUCGAGUCCUGGUCGAGGAG